UGGGGAAUUGUUCGCAAUGGGCGCAAGCCUGACGACGCAACGCCGCGUGGAGGAUGAAGGUCUUCGGAUUGUAAACUCCUGUUGCCCGGGACGAAAAGCUCUGACCUAACACGUUAGAGUCUGACGGUACCGGGUGAGGAAGCCCCGGCUAACUCUGUGCCAGCAGCCGCGGUAAUACAGAGGGGGCAAGCGUUGUUCGGAAUUACUGGGCGUAAAGGGCGCGUAGGCGGCCUGUUAAGUCGAACGUGAAAUCCCCGGGCUCAACCCGGGAACUGCGUCCGAUACUGGCUGGCUUGAAUCCGGGAGAGGGAUGCGGAAUUCCAGGUGUAGCGGUGAAAUGCGUAGAUAUCUGGAGGAACACCGGUGGCGAAGGCGGCAUCCUGGACCGGUAUUGACGCUGAGGCGCGAAAGCCAGGGGAGCAAACGGGAUUAGAUACCCUCGUAGUCCCUGAGCGGGCUGGCAAGGCGCAU
rnacentral:rRNA from 1 species